rnacentral:lncRNA from 1 species
CUAUCCUCUCCAAAUUCUCUCUAACUCUCUUGAAACCCCAGCCUCUCUCACCGUCUCCUACCUCAAGCUCACCGAAAAUCAUGGCUCCUCCAGCCAUGAUAACCUCAUACUCACCCUCUAUUACUCCUGUGUUUUUGACAUUUGAAGAAUCAAGUCCUUGACCUCAAUGGUUCCCUUUCAUAUCUUCUUAGAUUUGUAGAUCUAUGGUUUCUCCGGCCACUACUCCGGCAUAUUCGAGCAAUAUGAGUCUUUUCAACUCAGGAUCUGACUUUCCUCAAGACCUUUCCCAUUUCUAGGGUUUUCUCUGCAAUCCUAAGCUGUCCGAGGUUCUUUACUUGCUUAUUUUCUUAGUCUGGAAAAUAUCUGUGUUCUAUCAAACUUUUUAAUGGUUCUCCCCAAACUCUCUUUUAAAAAUCACUUCUCUUCGAUUUAGUGUUUUCUGAAAGAUUUAAAAUGUUUAUCUGACUUUUCUUUUCCCUUUCUUUGUGUGUAUUUUUUUGCUACUGCUUUCAUAUGUUUCCUUUUACCAGAUAUGUUCUUCUGUGCUUCUAUAUCUUUUGUUUUCCUACCAUGUUUCUAAACCAUGCUCACAUGUUUAUCUCACUAUGUUUUCCUAUAUGCUCUUUGCUAUACUUUUCCAGUGUUCUUGUGUUCUCCUACUGUAUUUAUUUUACUAAGUUCUUAAGUCUCUUCUGAAAGGUUACUUAAACAUGUUUCUUCAACUAUCAUGUUGUUCUCUCAUUGUGCUUUGAGUUAGUUCCUUCACUUUGUUUGCUUUGAAUUUUUUAUUGUACUUGCUUGUAUUCUCAUGAGAUUAUAAAAUAUUUGAGCAUGUUGCCUCCUCGUCUCUGUAUUUGACUCGAGGAUGAAACCCUAGAAUUUAGGGGUCCCGCCGAGUUUGUUCAUGUGAUUGAAUUAGGGUUUUUUAUAUGACCCUUGACUCCUCAGACUAAUCUCUGAGCCUAUGAACUGAGUUUGGAAUUUUUUGUUUUUUAUUUAAAUUUUGAAUUCUCU